CCAAUAGCGUAUAUUAAAGUUGUUGCAGUUAAAAAGCUCGUAGUUGAACUUCGGGAUUUGUCAGUUGGUCGGGCUUCACUGUCCGUACUGGCUUGAUGGAUUCUUACCUUCUGAAUAACCAGCAUGCUAUUAAGUUAGUGCGUUGGGGAAGCAGAUCUAUUACCUUGAAAAAAUUAGAGUGCUUAAAGCGGGCUUGUGCUUGAAUAGAUUAGCAUGGAAUAAUAAAAUAGGACGGCAUGGUUCUUUUUUGUUGGUUUCUAGGAUCACCGUAAUUAUUAAUAGGGAUAGUUGGGGGCAUUAGUAUUCAAUUGUCAGAGGUGAAAUUCUUGGAUUUAUUGAAGACUAACUUCUGCGAAAGCAUUUGCCAAGGAUGUUUUCAUUAAUCAAGAACGAAAGUUAGGGGAUCGAAGACGAUCAGAUACCGUCGUAGUCUUAACCAUAAACUAUGCCGACUAGGAAUCGGACGAUGUUAAUUUUAUAAUGACUCGUUCGGCACCUUACG
rnacentral:rRNA from 1 species